UCUUCGGACAAAGGAGAGAAAUCCUAGAUCCAAAAUUCUCUCUUCGUCCCACCGCCACAUUUCGUCGGUUCUAAACGUUCUCCAUCGUCGUUCAUCGUUUCUGGGUUUUUAAAGGUUAACAUCAGUAUCGAUUUGGGUGUUUCCUGUUGAUUUAGAGGGUAUUUCGACAAAUCCAAAAUUUUUGGAUUUCUCAACAAAAAAAGUGGUCUUUAAAACGAUGAAGAAGGUGAUUGUUCAUGUUGUUCCCCCCUCAUUCCUGAUAGACCAACCCAUUCUCCAUCCUCCCCCCGCACGGCAACCCCUCACGCCGGCCACCGUCCCCGGGCCCUCGGGAUCCUCUGCAAUCGGGACUCAGUCACCUUUCUUCUCAGAAUUUCCCUCCGACGCCUCGGGAUGUAAUCGGUAACUUGGCUUUGCCAAAGCCCGCAGACUUCCAUUCCUCGGCUCAGUUAGUUGAGGCUUCCCCUGCUGGUGUUGGUGACGCUUCCCCUCAGCGUGUUAUGCCUCAACCAAACAAAUCUCUCAACUAUGGCAAGAUGAUGAAAAGUGCCCGGAGAAUACCGUUCCGAUCAAAAGAACAACAAGAGAAGAUGUCUUACGAUGGGGUUCCAUCGACACUUACGGAAAGAGAGUGGUGGGACGACGGAGCUAAGAUUAAGCCAAUAAAAUUCGCACAAGGUUCCCGUAAAAAACGAAUCGAAGUUGUUAACUUUUGUUCUUCUGUAGCAACGUCUGUGUAUUCCCCUCGUCCGAAGCACCUUUGAUUCUUUGAAGGGCUCCUUGUGUGCAGGAACAUAAUGACGAUACUCUUAGCACAUUGGCUUUAUUGAAAACGAAUCUUUUUUUUCU